ACUCAAAUGAAUUGACGGGGGCCCGCACAAGCGGUGGAGCAUGUGGUUCAAUUCGACGCAACGCGAAGAACCUUACCUGGGCUCGAACGGCCGGUCAACGGCGGUGGAAACAUCGCUACCCCGCAAGGGGGUCCGGUCGAGGUGCUGCAUGGCUGUCGUCAGCUCGUGUCGUGAGAUGUUGGGUUAAGUCCCGCAACGAGCGCAACCCUCGUCCUGUGUUGCCACCCCGCAAGGGAGCACUCGCAGGAGACCGCCAGCGAUAAGUUGGAGGAAGGUGGGGAUGACGUCAAGUCCUCAUGGCCUUUAUGUCCAGGGCUACACACGUGCUACAAUGGCCGGUACAAAGGGCAGCGAACCCGCGAGGGGGAGCCAAUCCCAAAAAACCGGUCUCAGUUCGGAUUGCAGGCUGCAACUCGCCUGCAUGAAGCUGGAAUCGCUAGUAAUGGCAGAUCAGCACGCUGCCGUGAAUACGUUCCCGGGCCUUGCACACACCGCCCGU
rnacentral:rRNA from 1 species